AAUAGAUAGGAUACUUAGUUGUUGACAUUCAUCACUUUGUGCUCUCUGCUUUAUAAUUCCUGUGAAUUUAACAGGCAAAGAUGUAAUAAAGCUGGCUGUAUGAUUGGUUUAGGCCUUAGGGUUGACCUUGCUGAAAAAUAAAGUUAUCAAGUUGCAAUUCUGAGAUCACAACCAGGAAUUUUAUUACCUCAUGUACAAGUCCUUAUAAUCUUCCUGUGGUUGUUGCUGGACAAUUAACUUACCUUAAGACAGUCCUGGACCUCCUGGUUGUAAAAUGACAGUUUGUUGGUAAUAUGGUAAAUUAAUUUGAUUUUUCGAAGGACAUGCUUUAUUUGACUUGACAUCAUUCCUGUUGAUGCAGUUUAUAGAUGUGGGAACCAUG
rnacentral:misc_RNA from 1 species